rnacentral:rRNA from 1 species
CUGGCGGCGUGCCUACACAUGCAAGUCGAGCGAGAAAGCUCCUUCGGGGGUGAGUAAAGCGGCGCACGGGUGAGUAACGCGUGGAUAAUCUGCCUUAAGGACCGGGACAACUUUGCGAAAGCGGAGCUAAUACCGGAUGGUUCCGGCACCCACUUGAGCAGUUAAUUUUGCCAAGCUUGGUGAGAUUGACAUCUCAAGUGGGUGCCGGAUAAAGGAUGGCCUCUGAUUCAAGCCAUUGCCUUAUGAUGAGUCCGCGUCCCAUUAGCUUGUUGGUGGGGUAAAGGCCUACCAAGGCAACGAUGGGUAGCUGGUCUGAGAGGAUGAUCAGCCACACUGGAACUGGAACACGGUCCAGACUCCUACGGGAGGCAGCAGUGGGGAAUAUUGGGCAAUGGGGGCAACCCUGACCCAGCAACGCCGUGUGAGGGAAGAAGGUUUUCGGAUCGUAAACCUCUGUCAGGAGGGAAGAAGUGCAUGCCAAGUAAUAUGUGGUAUGUUUGACGGUACCUCCAAAGGAAGCACCGGCUAACUCCGUGCCAGCAGCCGCGGUAAUACGGAGGGUGCGAGCGUUAUUCGGAAUUACUGGGCGUAAAGCGCGCGUAGGCGGCGCGGCAAGUCAGAUGUGAAAGCCCCGGGCUCAACCUGGGAAUUGCAUUUGAAACUGCCGUGCUUGAGUAAGGUAGAGGGUGGCGGAAUUCCCGGUGUAGGAGUGAAAUCCGUAGAUAUCGGGAGGAACACCAGUGGCGAAGGCGGCCACCUGGGCCUUUACUGACGCUG